GGAUGCCGUCACAGCUGGCUCUGCUUCUUCCUGUGGGCCCGCUCCACCGAACUCAGCCUAGGGGGAGACAUAAACCUGUCGGACUGGUCACUCUUUCCACCACCCUCAUCUCCCGCCUUUCUUUCCUCCCAUUACUGGUGACAUGUUUCAGCUGCGGCUCCCACUGGUCAGUUUGUAAGAGAGAAGAAUGAUUUCCAGUGUGCCAGUGGGUGGUGGUGGGGGUUGAGGCUACAGGGCAAGGUCACGUCCAACCCAGGGAUUAAAGAGCCACAUCAAUACUGAGGUUCCUGUGCCUCUGGGCCUCAUACAGUAAUCCAUCAGAUCAGGACAUCCUCUUCUACCAGUCUCUGCAGGCUGGACAGUCGAUCAAUACCGGUAUGCUUGGAAUGGCUGACAAUCAUAUGCUGAAUACUGGGGGAAGAUGUGCAACAUUUUGUUGUUUGUUUUUAAACCAGACUCUAACAUCUGUGUUAAUUUUUAGAAUCAAAGUGACAUGAUUGGUGCAGAAGGACCAGAGAGAGGCCAGACCAAUUGCUGAUCUGAUCCAUAUUUAGAUAAAAGCAGUUCAAAGAAGGAUAAUAGCUGUAACUAAGAAAUUAUUCAUGUGGGGGUGGGGUAUCAGGGCCACAGGGGGAUAAUGAAGAUCUCACCAAAAAGAUUUCUACAGAUGAAUUUCCACUCUUUACCAAACUAAAAGCGCAUUAAUCCUGGGCCCAUAAAAUGUGGGGAUCUGAAUGGAUAUUGACAUCUUUACAGCUAUGUAAUAUCGCACUGAGUCCAAAAUCCAUCAAUCAUGUGCACACUUGUGGUGCCUGGUGACAUUUAUCAUGCCACAACUUUCAUCUUUGAGACUUCAGGAGUCUCUUGGACCCCCCACCCUUAUAUUAUUGAAUAUUUCUGCUCUUAAAUAUUUAUAACCUUUUAAUUGAUAUUCUCUAUUCUGCUCCAUUAGCCCCACUGGGGAUCUGUGGUCCCUGGCAGGGAAGCUCCACCAUUGUCUGGCCCACACACUGAGACAGGUGGAGACACUGACCACAGGGAAAGAGGAAGGGCAAGAACCCACAGGAAUGGAGUGGAAAAAACUAUAUAAGGCAAUAAAAUGAGUGGGCAUGGGAUGGUUAUUGGUAUGAAGUUACAGAAAAGUUUACUGUACAUUGUAGCAGUGCUACAGUUUUUCUUUAUAAUGUUCCAAUGGUAUUAAGUUGUUUAAUUUAGACAGAGAAACUGAUACAAUGGCUCCAUCAAUUGCAGCACACUAUUGGUCAGCUGGCUGAAAAACUAUUUUUAUACUUCCUCUUAGCUUUCAAGUAGGACAAAUAUUUGAAACAAGGAUUGGCUAAGCAACCAACUACAGCUGACCACACAAACUGA